GUGAGUUUCGACGACUGCUCGAAGAAAAGGGUCAAGAACACCGCUUCGAUGGCAUGCAGGUGGAGGUCCUCAAUGCAGUUGGCGAAUUCUUGACCCCCUUCAAACAUGCCUCAGAGGAUAUGGAGGGAGACCAAUAUCCAACUAUCAACACAGUUUUGUUGUGGUACCACAGGCUGCGAAGGCACUGUUAGUCUAGACCCUAAAGAUGCUCUCGCCAGAUGAGAGCUUGGCAGUCCAAGUGGAAGCAAGGAUACUGACAACAGCCCUCAUUCCAAAUCUGCAGGUCCAGUCUGCGCAAAGUACAAGUCAAGCAGCGGACGGGACAAGUGCAACAGAGAGGGAAGAAGUAGAAGAAAAUCUACUGAAAAAGCGCAGAAUGUUCCAGGAAUGGGAAGACACUCCAGACCUUAUUGAGGCGGAUGAAAUACAGCGCUAUAUGCUGUCACAUUUGAGUCUUGAGGACUGCACAGAAGACGUCCUUGGAUUUUGGAGGGAUCACGUCACGAUUUCCCUCUCCUCUCGAUGUUGGCAAGAGCGGUGCUUUGCGUUCCUGCAACCAGGGCAUCAAGCGAGUGCGCUUUCAGUUCAGCAGGUCGCGUGCUGGAAGCGCGUUGCAAUAGGCUAAACCCCGGCACCGUGGAUGCCAUCCUCUUUCUCCACAGUGCUUCCAAACAGCGGUCAUGUAUACAGUAGCCCUUAGUUCAAAUUUGAGUUUUCAAUUUGUAGCAUUCACAC
ensembl:lncRNA